rnacentral:sRNA from 2 species
GCAAGGGGCGGCAUUAGGAGCUGCCAAGAUUCCUAGUAUUCAUCUUUGUACCGUGCUUCAUGAGGUAAGAGCAAGCGUGGAGUUUUGGAUGAUUAAAUCGGCUUGAAAGCAGGAGGGAUUCUCUCAUUUUGUCCACAAGCCCUCGUUGAACAUUUGGUUUAUCACAUCUUAGUACGGCCCCAUGGCCAAGCGAAUGUAAUAAAUAACCAAUGAUCAAGUUGCCAACACUCUUGUCGUUUGUUUCCCUACAAAUAAGGCCUUUCCUUCCAAUACCAAAGGACACCAGACGAAACGAACACUCUAAGCAUAUUGAAGACAGGGCGAUCAAUACAAGCUGCCGUCAUCCUUAAUCCAUGAUCGCUGCAUUUUCCGUGCUUUUUCUUUUAGCCAUGCAGGCAAUGUCAAAAACUGUUCACGAUAGCCCCUCAAGCGGGCCGCUCGAAUCAAGCAACCAAUUUCGAGAUACCCUGGGACUUUGCAGGGGCUGUCUCAUGAUGGACCUCCAGGCUGCUAUCACGUGAUUGUAUUACCCUCCAAGGAAAUCGAGGAUGUCUCUGCCGCCAGAAGCACCCCCAGGAGCGUCCACCAUGUCAAAAGUUUGUAGCGGUGACACUCGGGGUCGCACUUCGCCGAUUGAAAAAAAGGUCACCAAUCGGCACUCCGUCAAAAUCUGCGUGUUGGUUCAUGGCGUGACGUUGCUUUCUUUUUUUGUGCAUGCGUAUUUGAAAAUUUUCCGAACCGUAAGAAUACGUUCACCCCC